AGUUAUUCUUAGAGAGUUUUUUAGACUCAAGUUCUGAUCCAUGUACUGGCUAGUUGGUUUUCCUUUUGAAAACUAGCUAGCAAGUUCAUGGAUCGGAACUCUCAGUCUGAAAAAACUGAUGAGCU
rnacentral:pre_miRNA from 1 species